GCCCAGGGUUAGGGCUUCAGGGUCAGGGCCCGGGGCCCAGGGUUAGGGCUUCAGGGUCAGGGCCCGGGGCCGGGGCCCAGGGUUAGGGUUUUAGGGUCAGGGCCCGGGGCCCAGGGUUAGGGUUUUAGGGUCAGGGCCCGGGGCCCAGGGUUAGGGUGAUUUCCAGGAAGUGACCUCACAACGAUUCAAGCUACCACUUACUGUUGAUUGUGAUGAAAUGCCAGCUGAGGCACACGCCUUGGGAGCUAAGUGGUUGCUGCCCUUGACUACUAUGAAGACUCUUGUGGGAAGGGUCGCUUUGGAUGCACUUGAGCAGGGGUCCCCAACCCCUGAGCCAUGGAGUCGUAAGGAGGCACACAGCAGGUGAGUGGUGUCGAGUGAGGGAGUGAGGGAAGCUUCGUCUGUAUUUACAGCCACUCCCCUUUGCUCACAUUCCCGCCUGAGCUCCACCUUCUCAGAUGAGCAGCAGCAUUAGAUUCUCAUAGGAGAAUGCACCCUGUUGUGAACCGUGCAUGUGAGGGAUCCAGGUUGCGCUGUUCUUAUGAGAAUCUAAUACCUAUUGAUCUGUCACUUUCUCCCAUCACGCUCAGGUGGGACCAUCCAGUUUCAGGAAAACAAGCUUAACACGCCCACUGAUUCUACAUUAUGCUCCUACCUCCCGGCAGCCUCUCCAGGCCCAGAACUCUCUCCAGUCAGCCUCUACAGACCAAGCUCAUGACUCACAAUGGCCUAUUGAGGCCCAUACCCUACCUCACGGCAGUCUCCGCAGAUGAGCCUACUGCCUCACAACAGCCUCCACAGGCACAGCUCCAUCGUUACAAUGGCCUCUUUAGACCCAGCUCCUGCCUCCCAGCCUUCUCUCCAGGCCCUGAACUUUCUCCGUGGGACCAUCCAGUUUCAGGAAAACAAGCUUAACACGCCCACUGAUUCUACAUUAUGCUCCUACCUCCCGGCAGCCUCUCCAGGCCCAGAACUCUCUCCAGUCAGCCUCUACAGACCAAGCUCAUGACUCACAAUGGCCUAUUGAGGCCCAUACCCUACCUCACGGCAGUCUCCGCAGAUGAGCCUACUGCCUCACAACAGCCUCCACAGGCACAGCUCCAUCGUUACAAUGGCCUCUUUAGACCCAGCUCCUGCCUCCCAGCCUUCUCUCCAGGCCCUGAACUUUCUCCGGUCUCCCUCUGUUGUCCGAGGCUGGAGGGUAGUAGUGCUAUCGCAGCUGACUGCAGCCUCAACCUUCCAGGCUGAAGCGAUCCUCCCAUCUCAACCUCCCACGUGGCUGAGACUACAGGUGCUUGCCACUAUGCCCAACUAAUAUUUGGUAUUUUCGUACACGUGGAUUCCAGAGGGGUAACAGCGAAACGUGGGACCAUCCAGUUUCAGGAAAACAAGCUUAACACGCCCACUGAUUCUACAUUAUGAUUCUUCAGGCCCAGCAUCUGCCUCACUGUGGACCCCCCAAGCCAAGCUCCCAACCUUUCAGCAGCUUCUACACACCCAGCUCCCGCCUGCCAGUGGCCUCUUCAGGCCCAUGGGGCUCAUUCCUCACAACAGCCUUUCCAGUCCCAGUUUUUCCCUUCCGGCGGCCUCUCCGGGCUGAGAACCUCCUCAAGUCGGCCUCUCCAGACCCACUUGCACCCUCCAGGCGUCCUCUCCGGGCCAAGCUCCUCUUCCUGGCUGCGUCUCCAGGCCCGACUCCUGCCUCUCAACAACCUCUUUGGACUCAGUGCCUACCCAUCUCCUGGCGUCCUUGGUCGGACCACAGCUUCCUCAAGCCAAGCUCCCCAGGCCCAGGUCAGGCCUCACGGUGCCCCCUCCACGAUGAGCUCAUGCCCUCCAAUGGCACCUGCAGGCCCCAAAUGGUCUCCGGUCGGUGGGCUCCUCCACGCCAAGCUUGGGCCUCCCGGUGACCUCUGCAGGCCCAAGUUGUCCUGAAGUCAGCAUCUCCCGGCCGUGCCUCCCAGCAAGUAAGCAAGCUCUUUUGGCUCAACUCCUGCCCAGCUCCCAACCGCCUUUGUAGGUCCCGAACUUUCUCCAGCCAAGUUCUUUGGGCCUCAUUCCUGCAGCCCGGUGGCCUGUACGGGCCCAGCAAUGGUUGGAGAAUGGCCUCUGCAGGUCCCGCUCUUGCCUCCCAGGGGCCUCUCCAGGCCCAGCUCUCGCCCCCACGGCGGCCACCCGGGGCCAAGUCCCUGCCUGCCUCCCAGCAGCCCGCAUGCGGCCCAGCUCCUCCCUCACGGUGGCCUGUUGAUGCCCAUGCCUCUGGUACCCUGCCCAGAGGCAUGAGCCCCUGCCACACACUGGCUCCUCCCACGCUGAGAGAGGUCAGCGUGAGCCCUUGCCUCACACCGGCCCCUCCCACGCUGAGAGAGGUCAGCGUGAGCCCCUUGCCUCACACCGGCCCCUCCCACGCUGAGAGAGGUCGGCGUGAGCCCUUGACUCACACCGGCCCCUCCCACGGUGAGAGAGGUCGGCGUGAGCCCCUUGCCUCACACCGGCCCCUCCCACGCUGAGAGAGGUCAGCGUGAGCCCUUGCCUCACACCGGACCCUCCCACGGUGAGAGAGGUCAGCGUCAGCCCCUUGCCUCACACCGGCCCCUCCCACGCUGAGAGAGGUCGGCGUGAGCCCCUUACCUCACACCGGCCCCUCCCACGCUGAGAGAGGUCAGCCUGAGCCCCUUACCUCACACCAGCCCCUCCCACGCUGACAGAGGUCAGCGUGAGCCCCUUGCCUCACCCCGGCCCCUCCCACGCUGAGAGAGGUCGGCGUGAGCCCUUGCCUCACACCGGCCCCUCCCACGCUGAGAGAGGUCAGGGUGAGCCCUUGCCUCACACCGGCCCCUCCCACGCUGACAGAGGUCAGCCUCAGCCCCUUACCUCACACCAGCCCCUCCCACGCUGAGAGAGGUCGGCGUGAGCCCUUGCCUCACACCGGCCCCUCCCACGCUGAGAGAGGUCAGCCUGAGCCCUUGCCUCACACCGGCCCCUCCCACGCUGACAGAGGUCAGCCUCAGCCCCUUACCUCACACCAGCCCCUCCCACGCUGAGAGAGGUCGGCGUGAGCCCUUGCCUCACACCGGCCCCUCCCACGCUGAGAGAGGUCAGUGUGAGCCCUUGCCUCACACCGGCCCCUCCCACGCUGAGAGAGGUCAGCGUGAGCCCUUGCCUCACACCGGCCCCUCCCACGCUGACAGAGGUCAGCCUGAGCCCCUUACCUCACACCAGCCCCUCCCACGCUGACAGAGGUCAGCGUGAGCCCCUUGCCUCACCCCGGCCCCUCCCACGCUGAGAGAGGUCGGCGUGAGCCCUUGCCUCACACCGGCCCCUCCCACGCUGAGAGAGGUCAGCGUGAGCCCUUGCCUCACACCGGCCCCUCCCACGCUGACAGAGGUCAGCCUCAGCCCCUUACCUCACACCGGCCCCUCCCACGCUGAGAGAGGUCGGCGUGAGCCCUUGCCUCACACCGGCCCCUCCCACGCUGAGAGGUCGGCGUGAGCCCCUUGCCUCACACCGGCCCCUCCCACUGUGAGAGAGGUCAGCGUGAGCCCUUGCCUCACACCGGCCCCUCCCACGCUGAGAGAGGUCGGCGUGAGCCCCUGCCUCAACAGGCCACCGUGAGGGAGGAGCAGGGUCGCACGAGGGCUGCUGUGAGGCAGGCAGCGACUUGGGCCUGGGAGGUCGUGGUGGGGCGAGAGCUGGGCUUGGAGACUCCCCUGGGAGGCAACAGCGGGGCCUACAGACUCUGUUCUCCAGCCGGAGGUGGGACUGUUCAGGUACUGGGAGGCGGGAUGUGGGUCUGAAGAGCUUGGUUGCAGAAACUUCGGGGUCUACAAACGCAGGCGGGAGCUGAGCCAAAAAAGCUUGUUUGCUGGGAGGCGGGAGAUGCAGCCAGGAGAAACAGGUGUGCCUGCAGAGGCCGCCAUGCGGGAGGCGGAGGCCGGGCCUCCUCAAAUCGGCCUCUCCAGACCCACUUGCAGCCUCCCGGCAUCCUCUCCGGGCCCAGCUCUUCCUCCCGGCUGUGUCUCCAGGCCUGACUCUGGCCUCCCAACAACGUCUUUGGACUCAGCUCCUGCCCAGCUCCCAGCAGGCCCAAGUCGUCGUCAAGUCGGCCUGGAAUUGGGCCCGGAAGAGCAGCAAGUCGGCCUCCCCGGGCCCAGCUCCGUCCUCUCGGCGGCCUCUCCAGGUGCAAAACUUCCUCGAGUCAGCCUCUCCAGGCCCAGCUCCUCCUGCCUCCCAGUGGCCUCUUUCAGCCCAGACCAGCUCAUGGCUCUUGGCGGCCUUCCCAGGCCCCGCUUUUGACUUUUGGUGGCCUCUUCAGGCCCAGAACUUGACCUCCAGUGGGCCUUUGCAGGCCCGGCCUCCUGCCUCUCGAAGGCCUGCACGGGCCCGGACUCACAGCGGACUCACAGCGGACUCUCCAUGCCCAGCUAGCUCUCGCCUCAUUGCGGCCUCCCGAGUCCAAAGCUCCUGCCUCUCGGCCGCUUCGGCAGGCCCAGCUCCCGCCUGCCAGUGGCCUCUUUAGGUCCAGCUCAUUCCUCACAACGGCCUUCCCAGGCCCCGUUUUUCCCUUCCGGCAGCCUCUUGGCCUCUAAUUUGUUUAUCUUUUGUGUAUAAAUCCCAAAAUAUUGAAUUUUGGAAUAUUUCCACCAUUAUGUAAAUAUUUUGGUAGGUGAUUUAUUUGGGGUGAGUUUCUGCACCAAGCCCGAAUUUUUUAUUUUAUUUUCCUUAUUAUUUGGUGUUAAACAGGUUUAAUGACGGUCACGGCAACUGUUUGACACAAUGAAAAAUAUCGCCCAUGA